rnacentral:rRNA from 1 species
CUCAGUUCGGAUUGCAGGCUGCAACUCGCCUGUAUGAAGUCGGAAUUGCUAGUAAUCGUGGAUCAGCAUGCCACGGUGAAUACGUUCCCGGGCCUUGUACACACCGCCCGUCACACCAUGAGAGCCGGGAACACCCGAAGUCCGUAGUCUAACCUACAUGGAGGACGCGGCCGAAGGUGGGUUUGGUAAUUGGGGUGAAGUCGUAACAAGGUAUC